GACGAACGCUGGCGGCGUGCCUAAUACAUGCAAGUAGACCUGAGUUGCGAACGGGUGAGUAACGCGUAGGAACCUGCCUCAUAGCGGGGGAUAACUAUUGGAAACGAUAGCUAAUACCGCAUACUGUGAGAUGGAACUGCGUUGUAUUAGCUAGUUGGUGAGGUAAAGGCCUACCAAGGCGACGAUCCGUAACUGGUCUGAGAGGAUGAUCAGUCACACUGGAACUGAGACACGGGCCAGACUCCUACGGGAGGCAGCAGUGGGGAAUAUUGGACAAUGGGCGCAAGCCUGAUCCAGCCAUGCCGCGUGUGUGAAGAAGGUCUUCGGAUUGUAAAGCACUUUAAGUUGGGAGGCUUUCCCAUCCCAAUAAGCACCGGCUAACUUCGUGCCAGCAGCCGCGGUAAUUC
rnacentral:rRNA from 1 species